rnacentral:rRNA from 1 species
GAUGAACGCUGGCGGCGUGCCUAAUACAUGCAAGUCGAGCGAACAGACGAGGAGCUUGCUCCUCUGACGUUAGCGGCGGACGGGUGAGUAACACGUGGAUAACCUAGCUAUAAGACUGGGCUAACUUCGGGAAACCGGAGCUCAUACCGGAUAAUAUAUUGAACCGCAUGGUUCAAUAGUUAACGACGGUUUUGCUGUCACUUAUAGAUGGAUCAGCGCCGCAUUAGCUAGUUGGUAAGGUAACGGCUUACCAAGGCGACGAUGCGUAGCAGACCUGAGAGGAUGACCGGCCACACUGGAACUGAGACACGGUCCAGACUCCUACGGGAGGCAGCAGUAGGGAAUCUUCCGCAAUGGGCGAAAGCCUGACGGAGCAACGCCGCGUGAAGGAUGAAGGUCUUCGGAUCGUAAAACUCUGUUAUUAGGGAAGAACAAAUGUGUAAGUAUCUAUGCACGUCUUGACGGUACCUUAUCAGAAAGCCACGGCUAACUACGUG